UACAUGGGGUGCAAACGUUGCUCGGAAUUAUUGGGCGUAAAGCGCGCGUAGGCGGUUACUUAUGUCGGAUGUGAAAGCCCUCGGCUUAACUGAGGAAGUGCAUUCGAAACUGGGUAGCUAGAGUACUAAAGAGGGUCGCGGAAUUCCCAGUGUAGAGGUGAAAUUCGUAGAUAUUGGGAAGAACACCGGUGGCGAAGGCGGCUCACUGGCCCGUAACUGACGCUCAUGCACGACAGCGUGGGGAUCAAACAGG
rnacentral:rRNA from 1 species